CCUUAACCCACAACUAAGUAUCCCCCCGUCUUCUAUGAACUGUUCUAAAGGAAAUGUAGAUUUAUAGAAGAUAUAUGUUAAAUGUUUGCAUUCCUGACUUGCAGUACAUGUUAAAUUGGGCAGCAGAGGAUAAAGAUGUACACACCGUCGCAUAUUGGAACAAAAACAAAAGUAGUGGAAAUUGCCAUUUUUACACCAAAAGUAUCCAACUGAUAUAAUACCCAACUCCAAAUAUUUUAACAAAAACUUCGCAAUACCCUUGUCAAUUAUCCACAAUUUUAAGUACAGUAAAC